rnacentral:rRNA from 1 species
GACGAACGCUGGCGGCGUGCUUAACACAUGCAAGUCGAACGCUGAAGCACCAGCUUGCUGGUGUGGAUGAGUGGCGAACGGGUGAGUAAUACGUGAGUAACCUGCCCUUGACUCUGGGAUAAGCCCGGGAAACUGGGUCUAAUACUGGAUGCUACAUGUCACCGCAUGGUGGUGUGUGGAAAGGGUUUACUGGUCUUGGAUGGGCUCACGGCCUAUCAGCUUGUUGGUGAGGUAAUGGCUCACCAAGGCGACGACGGGUAGCCGGCCUGAGAGGGUGACCGGCCACACUGGGACUGAGACACGGCCCAGACUCCUACGGGAGGCAGCAGUGGGGAAUAUUGCACAAUGGGCGAAAGCCUGAUGCAGCGACGCCGCGUGAGGGAUGACGGCCUUCGGGUUGUAAACCUCUUUCAGCAGGGAAGAAGCCACAAGUGACAGUACCUGCAGAAGAAGCGCCGGCUAACUACGU